rnacentral:misc_RNA from 1 species
GAUGAAGAACGCAGCGAAAUGCGAUACGUAAUGUGAAUUGCAGAUUUCAGUGAAUCAUCGAAUCUUUGAACGCACAUUGCGCCCGCUAGUAUUCUGGCGGGCAUGCCUGCUCGAGCGUCAUUUCAACCAUCAAGCCCUAGGCUUGCGUUGGAGCCCUGCGGCUGCCGCAGGCUCCCAAUUCCAGUGGCGGGCUCGUCGUCGUACCGAGUGCAGUAAACAUCCUCGCUCAGGGAACGUGACGGGUUCUUGCCGUGAAACCCCCCACAUAUCAAGGUUGACCUCGGAUCAGGUAGGAAUACCCGCUGAACUUAAGCAUAUCAAUAAGCGGAGGA